GCAGGCAAACGCUCCUCACCCGUGGGAGGGGUCACUGGGGCUGGGAGAGACCUUAGGGACCCUGUGGUCCACAGUUCCCCCACUUGAGUCUCCAGGCGCUGAGCUUUGUGCAGGUGGUGAGAAGGGGUCAGAUGGGAAAGAGCCACCUGCCACCUGUGUGCUCACUCUUGGCCUGGGGGCAGGGGCAUUGACGAGGGGGCUCCACGCUGACCAGGCCCUGCAGUGGGCCCUGAGGCCAGACAAAUGCAUGACAGGGAUGGGGUGGUGGCUCUUUUAGGUGGAAAAGUGAGUGGCAUUGGGAAGAAACCCGAAGGAGGUGAGAAUGUAAGCCUCCUGGGCAUUCCUGGGGUUGGGUGUUGGGGGAGACAUCAGGGAUGUGGCCCAAGCGCCAGGCCAGGGCCUCCAUGCAGUUUCUGGGCCUGGUGAGGCCUGUCCUAUACAGGUUUUAGAGCCGAGCCAAGCCACCUGUCACCAGGACUGGCAGGGAAGAGUCCCCCUGCAGCCACCUGGAAGAACUGGAGUCCCCGCAUAGCUGGUGCAGGGAGCAGGGCCAGCGAUAGACGGGGGCGGGGGGCACGGCAAUGUGGGCGCCCAGGCCGCUUCCACGGGCAUCCACACCGCCAUCCUUUAAUCCCCUCCAAGAGUCAAGUGAUGCUGGCCAGGUUCCCCAAGGACAAGUGGCUCUGUGAUCCAGGACGGAGCAGGACACAGACACCUGGGGGCACCUGGGGGGGGGGGGAGGGGAGCUGGGUCUUCUGCUGUAGCCCAUCUGGACCCGUGAUGACCACCUCAAGUCACCAAGGUCACCUUUGUGUUUGUCAGAAGCCUCCGGACUGAUUAAGUUAUAUCCCCCUGCCGCUCAGCCCUUAUCUGCAUAUUUACUGAAGGUUUCCAGUGGAUCAAGAGAGGUAGUCUGUGCCCCAUUAAUGUCUCUCAUUGGAUUUAAUGAUUUCACAUAAAACUGAAAAGCAUCUCAGAACCCUCCUGCAACCGGGGACAAAGUUGUGGGGAUGGAGUUACAGACCAGAGGUCCUUGCCAGCUCUUGCUGGCUCCUGCCGCUGUGGCUGUCCCAUCAGGAGGGCUUGGCCCACACUAGCGCCCUUUGUCAGGCCCUGCAUGGAUUAGCCCGAGGGAGGGAAGGUGCUAGAACCGACCUUUUCAGAUCAGGAGGCUGAGGCGCAGAGGAAAGGGACUCGUCCCACCCCGGUGCUCAUCCUCCCUCUGCCGGAGCCUUGUUAGGAGUGAGGACGAGCCCCCCCCCCCAGCCCAUGACCCCUCCCAGAGCGGCCAGAGCAGCAGAAGGGGCACACCGCUUGCACAGCGGCUCUUGACCUCUGCUGGGGGUGGGAGGUGCGGGGGCACCCUCCAGGAGGCGGAGCCGGAGCUGCCUUAAAGCCAGCAGCGCUUUCAUGCUUUCACCAGGAGCCACAGGGCUGGGCACUGGGCACACGGGCGGACGAGGGCAGAUGCUCACUCUACGCUGUGCCCUACGUAGGGGCCAUGAGGCCCGGGACCUGCCACCGGCCGGAGACACCCACGCACAAAAGGUAGUAACCGGCGCCCAGCCGCGAUGCACUGUGGAGCGAGCUAAGGAAUACAAGGGCGGGUGGGCUGGUGGGAGAGCUCCUAAUCUGGGCUAGGAAGGGCCUGGAGGAGGGGAUGUCCCUUGGGGGUUUAAAGCCCAGUGGAAGUGAGAGGAGGAGCAGGCAAAAGUCAGGAGGUGAGCCCUGGAAGGAGAGUCUCCAGGAGGCCCCUCUCGGCCCCAAAGCCUGAGGGGACAUUUCCACCCUCCACCCAGGGCCCCGCCCCAUCCCUCCCUGGCCUUCCUGGCCCAGGGUGCCCUUCGCUGACGCCCAGCACUCAGACUGGGCUGAGGAGAGAGCCUUUCAGACAAGCCUCUCGGGGUCCCCAGGGGCCUGGAUGGCUUUCUGAUGGGAGGGCAGGAGUGGAACCCCUCUUUUGACCCAGGGGCUAACCUCCAGUAGCGAGAGCCUACCCUGGGCUGCCCUGGCCUGCCGUCCACCAGUGUCCGCCUCUGGGUGCGGCCAUCCUGUUUCCAGAGAGUCCUGGGUCCAGUCCUUCCCUUCAGGCUCAGCUCCCACUUCUCAGAUAAGAAAACCGAGACCCAGGGAGGUUGUGACAUUUGUGCCAGAGAUGGGUCUGGAAACCGGCCACUCAGAGCUGGGGUCCAGGUCCUCCUCCGGCCCAGCACCAGCCUUGACAGCCACCGGGGUAGUCUGGACUGAGGGGCUCAGCAAGUCAGGCAGCCCAACUCCGGGGUGCCGCUCAUGCACCUUGAGCCGCCUGGCGGCCCUGGGGCCUCCCUCCUUCCAGAGGGGUCUGCCGGUGCCCAGGCCCCGAGGUGCUCUGGGCUUCGCGUCGGGAGAAGGGCAAGCCAGCAGCCACUGCGAGGAGGCCGCGUGGGGUGGCUGAGUGUCCCUGUGGGGCGGGGGACCUGCCCCCCUGGCUGGGCCGUCGGGAAGCCCCAGGGGAGCAGCUGAUGGUCAGGGUGGAGCCGGUCAUCGGGCCAGGGCGGCAGGAGGCCAGCACGGGGGCUCUGAGGAGGUCCAAGCAGAGACCACGGGCCACGGCUGGGCGCUGGGGGCGGCGGUGGGACAGCCCAGCCCCAAGUCAGGGGUGGGCUUCGAGGAAUAUCACGAGGUGAGACAGACAUACAGAGACCAGAAAGGGGGUUACUGGCUGUCUAGGGCUGGGGGCCGGGGAACAGCGGAGGCGUGCAGGGUUCUUUGUGGAUGUGAAACGUUGACUGUGGUGAGGAACACGCAACUCAGUGGCCCUAAAAGCCACUGAAUUGUGCACUUUGUGAAUUGCACAGUAUGUGAACCGUUCUCAACAAUGCUGCUUAAAAAAGAGAGAAAUUGGGACGUAGGCAGCCUCCCCAGGGGGCUCGUCAGGGCCAGAGGCACACCCUCCCCCAGCCGGACCAGAAACGCUCCUUUCCUGGACUUUAGAAGCAGCUGACGGACCCUGGGGGCAGCGCCCAGACCCCACGGGAGCUCAGUCCUGCCCGUUUCCCUACUUGGAGUCCCUUUGGCAUCUCUGAUCCCAGAUCCUCCAUCCCUUUCUCUUCCUUUCCACCCAGUUGCAGAGCCGGGACCACCGUGCUAUCCCUGGAGUGGUCCACGGUCUGCAUGUGGUUGCUGCGGCCUGUGGGCAAAGCCCAGCGCUGGCUCCUUCCUCUGGGUUUCCUGCCGACCGGCAGUCAGUCCCAGAGCCUCAGUCAGACUCAGCUUCGGUAACUUUGACCAAACUACAGGUGGUGCUGGGCAAGGCUGGGGCAGCUCAAAUGCCUGGCUGUGUCACUUGGAAGUCUGAGUGGCCGUCCCAGGGGAGACACUCCACUGCCUUCUCUGUCACUGAUCUUCGGAGUCCUCGUGCAGACACCGUCCAGUGUGGGCCCUGCAGGGUGCAGCUUGGUCCGGUGGCCGCCGGAGAGACGCUGGGAUCAUCCCCUCCCGCCACCGGCUCUCACGAGUGAGGUGGCUCCCACCAGCCUCCAGAAGUGGCCCGUUUCUCUUUUUCCAAGGAGGAAGCACAUAGAACACAGCCUUUUAGGUUAACUGUUUCUGCUCAGCCUGACCCUCUGGAGACGUGCUCGGGGCUGCUUGUCCUAACAGUCCGUGCCUUUGUGAUGUGGAGUAUUGGGUGCUGGGGCCACCGAGGAUUUACCCUCACCCGACAAAGAACGCCGGGUCCUUACGGGCAUGGCUGUUACAGGUGCGAUGGUGCCCUCGGGGCUCCCCGUGCAGCCCAAGACCCAGAGCUGUUCCGGAAGAUCUCUACUUUCGACGUGUGCAUUCUUCUUCAGCACAGAGGACCACACAGGAGACGCGCCGUCUGGAAGAUCCAUCCCACAAUUACUCAUUCAGUUUUCCCAACAAUAUGAUCGCUAAAAACAUGAAGUGUUUUUGCACCUCUGCCCUCUCUCCCUACCCUCCUUCAGGCUGCUGCACGCCCCACUCUCCCAUCGCAGCCUUGCCGGCCCGGGCCCCGAAGUAGCUGUACGUGUGACACUGUCCUUGGUGCCCACGCUGACGCGUCUGAUCACAUCAGCUGCAGAAGAUCAUUUUCCCAUAGAUUCUCGGGAAGGGCUCACAGGAACAAGAUCUCUGAAUUCUGACUUCUCCCACAUGGAUGACAACUUUUCUGUGCCCUUUGUACUUGCAAGAAAAUUGUCACGAACGAUCAUCUCCCCCAGGAUAAAGUCUUGCAAAACUCCAGUGCACUGUCAGAACCAGUGAGCGCCCGUCCACACUGGGGGUGGCCCGGGGUUUGCUUGGCCACUGCCUGUAGAAGGACAUGUGGAUGGUUCUCGUCUGGGGCUGUUACACACUCGACCGUUAGGAACAUUCACACCCAGGUUUCUAGUGAACAUGCGUUUUCAGUUCUGGGAUAAAUGCCCAGGAGCAGUUACCGGCUCGGGUGGUAACUGUCCGAGUACCUUCCAGAGGGGCUGCGCCACCUCCCCACCCGGUGUUCACCAGCCCUCGCUGUGUCCCCUCGCUGACGUCAGCACUGAUGGCUGGUUCUCAGCCACGUUUCCCUAACGAGCAGUCUCGCUGGACACCUUCUCACACAUCCUCUGCCCCUGUGUCCUCUCCGUGACCUGCCUCCCUCCUCACGCCCCCUGCUCCUCCUCUAGCUGGACUGCUUUCCACUGUGACUUUGGGGAGUUCUCCUUUAUCCCAGGCGAACCCCUGUCAGAUACGUCCCCCGAGCCCACCGCCUGUCCUUCCGCCCUCUCAGCAGGGCCUUGCCCAGAGCAAGUCUUUGAUUGUGAUGAGGUCUUGUUUAACCAUUUUCCUUUUUGCGGCGCAUGCUUCUGGUGUCCAGUCUAAGCACUGCCUCGCCCUAGAGCCCAGUUUUCUACAAGUUUUAUACUUUUGCACUUUACACUUAAGUCUGCGGUCCGUUUUAAGUUAACUUUCAUGUAACGGGAGACUGAGGUGCCGGCAGACGUCCAGCUGCCCAGCAGGGCCUCUCACGGCAUGUCCCCAGGUGGCUCCAAUGGCCCCUGUGCUUGAGGGUGGGCUGGCACCAUAGCCCAAGACGGGACCCCCACCAUGCUGUGUCUGCUGGUACUCUCAUCUGCUCUGGUGAAGCAAGCCUACCUGGCAAGGAGUGAGGGCGACCUCUGGCCCAUGGGGCACACGCUGACGACAGCAGUGGACAUGGCUCCUCCCAGGUCGAGCCUUCAGAUGACACCCAGCCCCAGCCGAUGCCCUCUUUUUUUUAAUAUUUUAUUUAUUUAUUUGGCUGCGCCGGGUCUUCUAUGUGGCACGUGGGAUCUUUAGUUGUGGCAGGU